CAUAAUGGGUAGAACAUUAACUGCAGGAGAGAAGGGAACAACAUAUAGACACAUCCACCCAGGAUCCUGAUCAAUACUGAGUGGGAAUAGAGGCUUUUAAAUGAUGAGGAUAGUAUUUGGGAUCUAAAGAUCAUGUUCAUCAACAAAACGGUCAUUGCAGAUGAGUUAUAUUGUUAAGCUAUACACAGAACAAUUACCAUUGGAGCACUUUGCAAAAAGAAUAAGAUGAUGAAGAUGACCAAGAAGAAGACCCUCCCUGUAUGUGCAUGCAGGCUGGAUUAGAACGGUGUGCUCACCCAGAGGACUAGUUAAGUGAAAUCCAGACAGGACGUGAUACACAUCUGGCCUAAGUUGCAGGGAAAAAAAAUGCAGGAGUGACUUGAGACUAUUUAGAAAGUAGUAUUGACAAGGCUUGGUGACCAAUUUGGAAGCAGGGAGCAUUCUUCAAAUGACAAAUGUGUUCGGAAUUUACACAUAGAUUCUCAGCCCUAACCAGUUAUAAACUUCCAGAAGAAGGAAGAACGAAACCUCUACAAUAAAGAGCUCCAGUCCACAAAGAAUUAUUCCUCUUUAAGAAAGACAGUAACAAGGGAGGAAUCUUGCAACCUGGAGAUCAGCCACGAAGGAUGUCUCCCCACUUGUGACAAGACCAACAUCCUAUGAUAUAUACUGACCUAACGUAUUGGCUAAGAUCCAUUUGGAUUGAUGACUAUGUUUCAUGUGUUGUCAGACACUUUGAUCACUCCUACUGUUUUACUAAUGGACAAGCCAACUGAUCUAUUUUAUUGGUGUGAGAACACUAUGCAAGAUACUUAUGUUCUGUUUCCUUAGUUACUCAUUAGAAAAUAGGUUUUUGAACAUCUCUCAAUCCUUGAGAUUAAAGGAAGUUGAGAUCCCAUAAUCACAGAAGGAUAAGAUUUACUCAAGGUAUUGAAUGCCCACAGAAAAAGAGGAAAGUUGAGAAACACUUUGGGCAGGGUGGUAGUGUUUAUUGGUUUAUUUAGUGGUUAUUGGAAGAGAAGGCAGGUAUAGCUCUUCUGGAACCAGCCUGGACCUCAAACUAUCCAUCUCAUUUGUUUUCAGCCUUAUGUCACCUUGUGUACUGGUGCAAAUUGUUCCCAUUGUUGGAAUCUUGUGAUCAUGUGUAUGGUAUGACAGCCUCUCUGUAGCAAGUGGCAAGAGGGGUUAUAGACAGAUUUGUCCCACUGACUACCAAUAUAGUGAAAUACAAUAAAAAAAAAAAGUAAUUCUGUAUAUACCAAAAGGAAAGUACUGGGACUUU